GACGAACGCUGGCGGCGUGCUUAACACAUGCAAGUCGAACGAAGAGCGAUGGAAGCUUGCUUCUAUCAAUCUUAGUGGCGAACGGGUGAGUAACGCGUAAUCAACCUGCCCUUCAGAGGGGGACAACAGUUGGAAACGACUGCUAAUACCGCAUACGAUCUAAUCUCGGCAUCGAGGAAAGAUGAAAGGUGGCCUCUAUUUAUAAGCUAUCACUGAAGGAGGGGAUUGCGUCUGAUUAGUUAGUUGGAGGGGUAACGGCCCACCAAGGCGAUGAUCAGUAGCCGGUCUGAGAGGAUGAACGGCCACAUUGGGACUGAGACACGGCCCAGACUCCUACGGGAGGCAGCAGUGGGGAAUCUUCCGCAAUGGACGAAAGUCUGACGGAGCAACGCCGCGUGAGUGAUGACGGCCUUCGGGUUGUAAAGCUCUGUUAAUCGGGACGAAAGGCCUUCUUGCGAACAGUUAGAAGGAUUGACGGUACCGGAAUAGAAAGCCACGGCUAACUACGUG
rnacentral:rRNA from 1 species